CUUGUCUAUGUUUCUUGGAACAGGACGUCACAGAGGGUGAGAAUCCCGUGCGAUGAGAUGCCCAAUUCUAUGUAAGGUGCUUUCGAAGAGUCGAGUUGUUUGGGAAUGCAGCUCUAAGUGGGUGGUAAAUUCCAUCUAAAGCUAAAUAUUGGCGAGAGACCGAUAGCGAACAAGUACAGUGAUGGAAAGAUGAAAAGAACUUUGAAAAGAGAGUGAAAAAGUACGUGAAAUUGUUGAAAGGGAAGGGUUUGAGAUCAGACUCGAUAUUUUGUGAGCCUUGCCUUCGUGGCGGGGUGACCCGCAGCUUAUCGGGCCAGCAUCGGUUUGGGCGGUAGGAUAAUGGCGUAGGAAUGUGACUUUACUUCGGUGAAGUGUUAUAGCCUGCGUUGAUGCUGCCUGCCUAGACCGA
rnacentral:rRNA from 1 species